rnacentral:rRNA from 1 species
GCUUGCAUCGGGGAUUAGUGGCGAACGGGUGAGUAACACGUGAGUAACCUGCCCUUAACUCUGGGAUAAGCCUGGGAAACUGGGUCUAAUACCGGAUAUGACUCCUCAUCGCAUGGUGGGGGGUGGAAAGCUUUUGUGGUUUUGGAUGGACUCGCGGCCUAUCAGCUUGUUGGUGAGGUAAUGGCUCACCAAGGCGACGACGGGUAGCCGGCCUGAGAGGGUGACCGGCCACACUGGGACUGAGACACGGCCCAGACUCCUACGGGAGGCAGCAGUGGGGAAUAUUGCACAAUGGGCGGAAGCCUGAUGCAGCGACGCCGCGUGAGGGAUGACGGCCUUCGGGUUGUAAACCUCUUUCAGUAGGGAAGAAGCGAGAGUGACGGUACCUGCAGAAGAAGCGCCGGCUAACUACGUGCCAGCAGCCGCGGUAAUACGUAGGGCGCAAGCGUUAUCCGGAAUUAUUGGGCGUAAAGAGCUCGUAGGCGGUUUGUCGCGUCUGCCGUGAAAGUCCGGGGCUCAACUCCGGAUCUGCGGUGGGUACGGGCAGACUAGAGUGAUGUAGGGGAGACUGGAAUUCCUGGUGUAGCGGUGAAAUGCGCAGAUAUCAGGAGGAACACCGAUGGCGAAGGCAGGUCUCUGGGCAUUAACUGACGCUAG